GGCCAUGCAGAGACCCAACAAGUAUAUUAAAACUAGAUAAACUGUAAGAUUGACAUUCAAUUUUUUCUAUCAUUUUCAAGCCUACCAAUUCCUCACCUUUUACUUUCAAAUUUUUUGAUCUGCACCACAGUCGGAAAUAUUCAAGGCAAGAGAGCUUUGGUAAUAUUCCGAUUGGGAACUCUAGAUCUCGCACAUAGAGAUUAAGAUACCUGAGAUUGAUCAAACUUUCCAUGCCUUCAGGUACAUGUUGGAUUCCAGUAUAUCUAAGAUCCAACUCCCUUAGUGCACCUAGCUUUGCUACAGAAGGCACGGACUGCAAUAAUGCUUAAGAUACAAUGCAACAAGAUUCUCCAAUGUGGAGAUGGAGUUUGGUAAACUCUUAAUUCCAGUAUAAGACAGAUCCAGAAGCCUCAAAACAUGCAUGCAUGAAAAGAAAGAAUCUGGAAUUCUAACCAGAUCUUUAUUCUGUGCCAGUAACAUGGUUUGAAGUUUUGGACAUUUUGGUGACAAUCUAGAAGGAAUUUCUGAUAUGUGAUUGUCAAUCAAGGAUACGCUCUCAAGUUCCUCCGUCCAUCUGUUCGCAUUUGGUAAUUCUCUUAACCGAACUCCAGCUUCUACAAGCAAUUGAUGAUCCAUGCUUUUCAUCUGUAUUACCAUCUCCCUAAUUAGGUCAUGCAUCUUCACAUAUUUCUUAUCACGAAUGCUUUCCAAAAGACAAGCAUUUUCAAGCUUGUUUAGCAUAGCAUAUCCAUUGACAAACUCUGCUUCGCUACUUUUCAUUUUAUCUACUAUUCCUAAACUAAUCAAACGCCUUAUCAGCUGUGUCCUUUUGAUCAAAAAGUCCUCCGGGUAUAAUGCACACAAUAUAUGAGACACUGCCUGAACUUGUCAUCUUUCAAAUGCGCAUAACUAAAUUUUAGCCGCUCAAUCACCUGAUCCAUUUCUUCCCUAAGCCCCUUUGUAGAUUCCCUCAACUCCUCUAGAGCAUUUUGCCAUUCAUAUAUGUCAUCUACGCCCUUCAUACUACCAGCUAUAGUGACAAUUGCAAGAGGCAAGCAGGCACAUUCAUCAGCAACUUGUUUUGCUGUUGCUUCUAAUUCCGGGGUAUUAAAAACUUGAUUUCCAACUUUUUCCACAAAUAAGUUCCAUGCCUCCUCUUCAGUAAGAAGCCCCAUUUUGAUAUCCUUGCAAUCCAUUCUCCGACAAACGUCACGCAAUCGAGUUGUUAAUACUAAUUUGCAUCCAUUAUCAGGUGUAGGCUCAGGAAUUCCUACAUCCUCAAGAUUGAAUGCUUCCCACAUAUCAUCAAGGAUUAACAACCAGUUUUUCGCUUUUCCCAGCCAUUUAAAUAACUUGACAGCCAUUUUUGUUUCAUCCUUACAUUGUGCAAAAUCUCGAUUCAAUGCAGCUGCAAUGUCUUUCUGUAAGUUCCCAAAUUUUAGUGGUUGUGACACUGUCCCAUGUCAACCAAUAGUACCAUAUCUGCAAAUUCGUUCCCAAUCUUAUAAAAACUCGAAGAAAUCACCACUUUCUUUAUAUUAAUAUGCUAUUUUAAGUCUUGGAUAACGCUUCCACCUUUGUCAGGAGCAUCAAUUAAAUAAGCCUUGCCGAUCUCAAAAACUUUAUAAUCCAACGAGUCAAGAACAUCAGGAAACUCAUCAAAAACUCCAUCACCAAACGUAGAAACUUCCAACCAGGUUUUCUUAAAUCGAUCAAAAGGGAACCGGGAGAGUGGGUUUGUAAUAAUAACCUUGCCAGAUUUUGAUUCUUUAGCUCUAACAAUCCAACUCUUGGUACGGUUGGUGAGGGGUUGGAUAGAGUAAAUUGUGUAGAGAUAUUUUAGGCUUGAUUUUAGUAAUCUUUGUGAAAUAGUCAAGCAUAAUUAGUGUCCUUGAUUAUAUGGUCAAUAGCUAAUAAUAAGCUUGUAUCAAUUCAAGCAUAAUUAGUGUCCUUGAUUAUAUGGUCAAUAGCUAAUAAUAAGCUUGUAUCAAUUCUCCUAUAUAUAUUCUUGUAUAUAUACCUUUAAAAAAAAAAAAAUUAGAAUACAAUUUGAUUAUUCUGCUUUUAAUUCAAACUAAUUGUGUAUUCAGUGAGCACAAGAUAGUCGUAGUUGAGAUCAUUGAUUUCAUAAGGUAACUCAAUGAAAUUCAUUUGAUUUUUGGAUCAACCAUAGAAUUCAAACUAUAUAGCUUUACUAACUUGCACUUAAAAUUUAUUAAAUUUACUAGCUUUUGUAUUCCUUCAAGUUUAGAAUUCAUUUGCAAAUUCUAUCAAUUUCGAAAUAAUUUGGUCCAAGCACAACCUAUUCCAUAGAAUUAAACAUAUGGAACUUCAAAUGAAUUUUUAUUUAUACCAAACAUGAAAAAUGGGAUUUAUAAAUGAAUUCCAUAGAAUUUUAUGGAAUUCAUUUACCCCAAACAAGCUCCUGGUGAGCUUUGAGCCUUUUAAGGAUAGAUAAUAGUGUAGCCUAGCUAGAAAAUAAUGCUUGCCUGAGCAUUUACAGAUCCUUGAACAGCUUAUCCUUGUCAGAUUGCAUUAAUUUUAUAGAAACUUGCAGAAAGGUUGAAGGGCAAUCUUAGAGCCAGGUUGAUCCCAUUCCAGUGAUUCCCACCAUUUUUCAUCUUGAACAUAGAUCUGUUCGAGAUUAGGUGGAGCAAAUGCUACACCAUCAACAAUCGGAAGCUCAAGCGGGAGCCUUCUCAUAUUUGGACAUGCAGUAACUGUCAUGUAAAGGAGAGAAGGACAAAGCACCAACCCCAGACAGAUGCUUUUUAAUUCUGGUAGCCUACACAAAGAGAGACUCCUCAAGUUGGGGAGAACAAACCUCAUGGCAAUACCUUUAUUUUCCAUUGGUAAAUGGUUGCUGCUGCUUGCUGCCUGCUCAUCUGUUGUUGUAAAAAACUGCUUCAUUUGUGGGCAGUCAUAAAUAAGAACCUCUUCAAGGUUUUGAAGUAGUAGAAGCAACCCAGGUUUGAACAGACUCCUUAUAUUUGAACAACCUGAGAUUUUGAGAACUGUGAGACUGGAAAAGGCACUAGGAAGAACUGAUUGUGGUGUAGCAAGCAAAGAAGUUGAUGUCAUUGCCAGGCUUUCUUUACCUGAAUUAAAAUGAAUUUCAUUCUUCUGUGUUGAAAAAUAGCUCAAGGUUUUGAAAUUGUGGCACCUCUCAAUACUCAGGUACUCAACAUCAAUUGGGACCAAAAGUGAAUCUUCUAUGCCUUUUUCACUGAUGCCAUAAUCAAUUAUUGUUACAACUUUUUUGAAGUCUGCAGCUGUAUACAAGUCCUCCUCUCCCAGAUGUAGAAAGUAAUUUCUCAGCACUCGGCCAUGCAGAGACCCAACAAAUAUAUUAAAACUAGAUAAACUGUAAAAUUGACAUUCAAUUUUUUCUAUCAUUUUCAAGCCUACCAAUUCCUCACCUUUUACUUUCAAAUUUUUUGAUCUGCACCACAGUCGAAAAUAUUCAAGGCAAGAGAGCUUUAGUAAUAUUCCGAUUGGGAACUCUAGAUCUCGCACAUAGAGAUUAAGAUAGCCGAGAUUGAUCAAACUUUCCACGCCUUCAGGUACAUGUUGGAUUCCAGUAUA
rnacentral:lncRNA from 1 species